GAGCAUCUAUAAUUUAUGUAGCAUAUCAUUGGUUUUAUUUGUUUCAGAUAUAUCAAUGACACUAUCCAUUUUGACUGAUUUUACAGACAAAAUACCUCCAAACUCAUUUCCGUCUUUAAGCCUGCUGAAGAGGCUAUGUGAGCAAAAUGGUGUGGAGACUCUGGAAUUGGCACAGUUCGAAGUCCAGGGAGACCCGAGCUGGCCUGGCCUCUGAGGCUGUAUUUGUAUGGAAUGACGGUGGGCUUCUGGCAACAGGCAUGGGCCAGUCCAGCUGGGCCUCAUCGGGGGAACCUGAACCUGUCACGUUCUCGGUCACUGUCUUGGAGCCAUGAUGGUCAGAGAAUGGUUGGCCUCCAUCUUUUGCAUAAGAGCCUAUUAUCUGUUUGAAGCAAUUCUUCAGAAAGUCAAGAGCACUCAGCGUCUCCACAUCACCCAGCCCACACCAGACCCUGAGAACCAUCCCUGCAAUAAAAUUUCAGUAAUUUUAUCUAAGUAACCAUUUUCUGCUGGAAAAUUUCCCUUGAAACCCUGAAAGCAAAUCCCAGAGGGGUAGGAGUUGGAUUAGCUAAAUUGUUUGCUGUCAAGCCUAUGCAUUUAGCGAAGGUCCUGGUGAGAUGGAUUGUUCGGCAGAGCAAACUCCCUUUCCGGGGAUUCAUCACCAUUACUCCCAUUUGGCGAGUGCGAGGCUGAAGCAUUCCCAUUGUACAUUGUCAAUA